rnacentral:rRNA from 1 species
AGGUGGUGGCAUGGUUGUCGUCAGCUCGUGUCGUGAGAUGUUGGUUAAGUCCCGCAACGAGCGCAACCCCUAUUGUUAGUUGCCAUCAUUCAGUUGGGCACUCUAGCGAGACUGCCGGUAAUAAACCGGAGGAAGGUGGGGAUGACGUCAAAUCAUCAUGCCCCUUAUGACCUGGGCUACACACGUGCUACAAUGGUUGGUACAACGAGUUGCGAGUCGGUGACGGCGAGCUAAUCUCUUAAAGCCAAUCUCAGUUCGGAUUGUAGGCUGCAACUCGCCUACAUGAAGUCGGAAUCGCUAGUAAUCGCGGAUCAGCACGCCGCGGUGAAUACGUUCCCGGGCCUU